AGGCCCGGUAUAUGUAGUAUUUCCUUGAGCUUGCACAUCAAAGCUUGUGGAAAAAGUUUUAAAAGGAGAACAUACACCAUCUACAGAAGGAAGAUAAAUUAUGGUGUUUAAAAACUUUCGUUUGCAUGCAGGGAGUUUCACUCAUGACUUCUUAUUUUUGCAUAAAUAUUGAUUGAUUAUUUGAGAUCAAUAUACAACUUGUGUUGUCUUCUAGAAGCUUAUUUGCUUGGAAACAGUAAAACUUGUGUUCUUUGUACCAGCUUCCUUUCUGCAACAUGCCACCAAGGGUUGAAAGCGCUUGGAGCAGAGGGGAUGAUAAGAGAGCUGAUCCAGUAUUUGGACGUUGCAGAGAAUAUAUUUUGUCGUAAUAACAUUUAUCUGGGAACACCUAUUUAUAAUACGGUGCUGCAUUCACUUGUUGAGGCUCAGGAAGUAGGUGUUUUCAUCACCAUUGGUUUUCACAGCACGGAUCCAGCGACCUGCCAUUUUUUUUUCUCUGCAUAUGCCAACAGUGGUUUUCACAGCACGGCCAUGGAAGCACUGCAGGUUUUGAAUAUGCGCAUGAUAUGUGAAGAAGAUGGCAGCUUUCCAGAAAAGGCAGAAUUUGAGGAUGACUUCAUCUUUGCUGAAGACUUGGAAGCUGAAUCACGAAUAGUACAGCUUUUUAAAGAUUCUGAAGAGAAGCUUGCUGUUGCCCUUUUGAAUCUAAGAUGGUGCGCCAAUUUCAUGGUCACCUAAUCAAAGCCCAUGGGCCAGAAGACUGUCAUCUAACUACACUGCCAGGAAAGGAGCCACCUAAUCAUGAUAUAUGUAGGUGGCAUUAUGACUCCAGUGAGUUUCCCUUUAUUAUUAUUUUUGGUUGUGGUCGAACAAAGCGUAAGGCCUCCUCAGGAAGAAGGGGAGAGGGUGAGAGGCACAGAUGAGGUCUUGAUCUUUUACCGCUGAUUUUUUAGAUUUGUAUUAGGCUAGGAUAUUUGAGAAAAUUAGGGGAUGCCCUUUUAUCUUUUUUGGUUCAUUACGUUAUUUUGUAAGCUACUGCUUUGUAUAUUUAAAAGGUGAAAUCGUGCUGCAGUUCUCUAAACAAGAUCAACUGUGCCUAGGAGGAGGCGGCAGCAUGUUUUGUUGUUAAUUUAACAAAAAAAGCACAAAAAAGCAUUGAUAUUUUCUUUAUGCUUUUAUUCUUUAGCAAGUAUGCUUUGACCGCUA